GUGAAUGUGCGUGUGACUACGACCGCGGCACGACGGCGGAUCAGGACGCCGCCGGGAGCAGCAGCAGCAGGAACCCUGACGCCUCGGCACAGUCGCCGCGACGCCACAGCAAAGCUGACCGCCGCCAAGCCGGUGGCCUGCGCGAGAGCCGGGCCCUGGCGGCCGGCGGCUGGUGCGGUGGCCCCUGGUCGUCGCCCCCUGCGAGUCCGCUCUGGCUGGCCACCGACGGAUCCACAGCGAGGCGCUGCAGGGCGGACGCCGGCGCCGGCAUCAGCGACACUCGUGCUGGCCAUCCGAAGCAACAGCGUACCACGGCUUAAGAUCCGCACCACUAGGAGAUCUCCACAUUCUGCAAGGAACUAUGAAUCCAGUCGGGACUCGUCUGAAUCCGCCAG